UUUUAGUUUUUAACUUGAUUUGAUCUCAUUUUAAGAUUUCCAGUUUUCUUUUUCAGUUUAAAACAUGAUAUCUCCAGUUUCAAAUGAUCUCUACUAUGAUAUCCACAGUUCAAUCAUCAUGGAGAUAUCUCGAUAUCAUGAAAAGGAUCUCCAUCAUCUCCAUCAUGUUGAAGAGUUUAUUGUUAAUAAAAGAGGAAAGUUUGGUUUAGGGUAUUGGACUGACUGAUUGGACCCUAAACCUUUAAUUUGACUGAUUCCGUUGUAUUGAAAUCAGUCCAUCAAGACUUUAAACAACUUUGGGAAAAACGAAAAGUAGGACAACACAACGCCAAUAUUUAAUGAAGUUUUGCGAUUAGCUGUCUGUGUGUACACCACAAGGCAUUUAUUGUUAAAGGAUUACAUAUGAAUAAAAAUUAUUUACUUUAUAACUUUA